UUUGCACUUGUCGGGGAAGGGGUGAGAACCUUCGAUUGGUUCGGCCGAUGAAAGGAGAGAACGCUGCUAACGGCAACGGCCCGUAGGGUGAGGAGCGAAGCGACGAAUAAUCCUUCCCACCACCA
rnacentral:sRNA from 1 species